rnacentral:lncRNA from 1 species
GGGAAGCUGAGGCAGACGGCGCCGUCUUCGUUUUCUCUCCUGCUGGUACGAGGAUGGAGCCACACUCCGGGGUGGCCCGAGAGGUACGGGUGUAGACUUUGAGCUUUGCAAGUUUGAAGUUUUCAGGAAAGUGUGCUCUCAUACGUACAUUUGUCAUUCUCGCAGUGUGCGGGCUGCAUUUGGCAUCGCUCCAUCGGCUGCUUUUGUCUGUCCAAAUGGUGGUUCUGUAGAACUUAUCUACCAGCUAGAGCCUAUGGGAAGGGACUCCUGCUUGGGAGUAUCCUAGGUCCCGACUAGCCACGAGACAAAUACUUGGGAGUAUCCCAGGUCCCGAUUGUGUGAGCAGCGUGUAGGCACGCCCUCACACUUGUCAGUCAGGCAAUUUCGAAAAUACUACCUCUGUAUCAAAAUAUUUGUAGUUGGGGAAGCUAGUAGCUUCCCCCAAUUUUUUUUAAAAUGCAACUGUAAUUCUGUUGUGCUUGUACUAAUGGGUGAUUUAUUUGGCUUAAAAUAUUUGUUUUUGUGAAGGUCAAGAUGUUGUGUUGCAGAAGGUCAAAGUGUGUAUUGUAUAUGUGUGUGUGUUUUUUUUAAAUGCACACCUUCAUUGCAAAACAGUAUGUUCAUUCUUUGAUGUGAGGAUGUUUCCUUUAUAGUGUUGAAUUGUUAUUAGAAGAAAAGAAAAAGAGAAGUUCAGUUUCUAAACAUGACGUUGUUCAACGUGCAAACGAAUGGAAAAACUGUACAUGUUCGCCUACCAAAAUGUCCAACAUUUGUUGUGGAAAAAAUUCACACUUUUUUUAACUAUGUGUGAGAACUUUAUGCUCCUUCAAAUGUGUGCACUUGUAUUUGAGUAAAAUGCAUCUAGCACACGAAGUGUAUGUGUAAUUUUCUUGAAUUAUAAUAGCAUGCGAAAUUAAUGUUUCAGAAAUUCAUAAGUUCGCGUGUACCACAUACUGAAGAAAUUCAUGAAUGAAAAAAAUGACUGCCUAGGCCAUUUCACCAACAGCAAAAAAAUGUCGCGAGACAACAAAUAAAACUGCAUAAGAUAUAACAUAGUAAGUUCGUAGAAAUGGUGGAAAAUAUAACUUUAUUUUGAAAGUUUAACCACUUCUGAAAAAAUACCUUGAAGUUCAAAUUUAAAUAAUAGGGUGGUUCAAUGUUUACUACAAACCUGUAAUUUUCCCAGUUACUAUAGAAUAAACCAAGAAGUUCAAUAACAAAAAAUGCAGCAGUUUGAAAAGUUUAUAAAAAAUGGUGUUUGUACAUUUUACUAAAAAAUGGAGAAGUUCAAAUUUAAAAAACAUAGAAGUUCAAAAUGUUUAUUCCAAAACAAAGAAGGCUAAAUUAAAAAAACGAAGCAAUUUAAAAAUUUGUAAACAUGGAUUAGCCUUGUUUUUUUAAGGUCUGGAAGUUCAAAUUUAAAUAACUGAGCGGUUCGAUGUUUAUUACAUAACUAGGAAUUUUCCCUAUACUAAUGAAUAACACCAAAAAGUUAAAAUUAAAAAAAUGAAGUUGUUUGAUGUUUAUAAAAAUCUUAGGUUUUCCCCGAUACUAAAGAUUAAACCCACGAAGUUCAAUUUUAAAAAACAGAGUAGUUCAAUGCAUAUUAAAAACUCACUUUGUUCUCGUUACUAAGUAAUAAACCAAGAAGUUCUAUUUUUAUAUUUAUUUGAAAUCUCAAUUUUUUCUGGUUACUAAAGAAUAAGACCAAUAAGUUAUAUUUGAAAUAACGAAGAAGCUCGAUGUUUCUAACAAAACUCCAAUUUUCCCAUUUCUAAAAAACACACAAAGAAGUUAUAAGAAAAAGUUGAGCGGUUUGAUGACUAUAGAAAACUUAGAUUUUUCCCGUUACUAAAGGGAGACUGAGAGAAGUUCAAAUUGACAACGGGCAGAAGUUCAUGUACUGCAUGACGCGUGUUUCGUAUGAGAAAAUAUGAAUAAAAAUGUGAAGUCUAAAAAUUUUGUUGCUAGAAGUUCAAGUGCACAACCCAGGAAAGUUCAAAAAGCUCCACUUGUUCAACAAAUUUCCACAACGGAAGCUCAAAUUAAAAAACAAAAAUAGUUUAGAAAAUGGAUUUCCCUGUUUCUAAAAGAAACCUAGAAGUUCAAGUUAAAGUAAUGGAGAGGUUCAAUGUUUAUUAAAAACAUGGAUUCUAGCCGCUAAUAGAAAAUAAAACCAAUGUGAGGUUCAAAUUAAAAUAACAUGGAAGUUUGGAGUUUAUUAAAACCUAAGAUUUACAUGUUUGAAAAACAAAAACCAAAGCCAUUUUGGAAUUUUUAAAACCAACUCAUAAAAUGAAAAACAUUUCUUGCUAGAAGUUCAAGGGCUCGACGAUGGAAAGUUGGAAAUUGUUACCCACUUUAUGCACACAUAAUUCUCUCUCCCAUUUGUGUCUAUGUUUUUACAAAUAAAUCAAAAUUUUAAAAAAUGUGGAGGAGGUCCAAUAUUUAUGACAAAACUAGGAUAUUUUGAUGCUAAAAGAAAUAAACCAAGAAAUCCAAAUUACAAAAUAGAGAAGUUCAAUAUUUAUAAAAAGCUCAGAUUUUCCUUGUUACUAAAGAAUAAAAAUAACAAAGUUCAAAUUAAAAUAGAGGAGUAGUUUGAUGUAUACGAGAAACACAAAUUAUUACCAUUUCUAAGAAAAAUAAAACUAUGAAGUCCAAUUUACAAAAAACAAUGUUUGAUUCUUAUUCAAAAAUAUAUUUCCUUUCUCGGAAUAUGAUCAAGAAGUUAAAAUUAAAAUAACAGAGAAAUUCAAAGUAUAUAAAAAAUCAUAUUUGUUGCAAGAAGUUCACGUGCACCUCCCUGCACGGUUCAGAAUUUAUAUUGGGUGACGUCCGACCUCCAAUUACAUAUGUUAAAAUGGCAGAAAAUGCGACGUAUACACAAAAAGGCGACAUAAGUUCAUAAUCGAAACAACGAGAAGUUCAAGUACUGCAAGGAAUGCAUUUCAGGUGAAAAUAAAAGUAUAGAAAAAUAAAAGCUUAAAAGGUUUGUUGAAAGAACUUCAACUGCUUUGUCUGGGGAAGUUCAAAAAUUCUUGCAAGAGAGGUUCACCUUGUAUUUCCAUGUUCGAAAACACAAAAAAUAAAUAUUUUUUUGCGUUUUGAAAUAAUUUUCUUAAAUCCAUAAAGAAAUUCAGUUAUUAUUUGAGUGCAAUUUGAUUUCCAAAAGAAAAUAAAAAUUUCAAAUUAUAAAAAUGGAAAAAGUUCAUGUACUACAUGGUGUGUGUUUAAUAUGAGAAAAAAUAAAUUAAAAGGCAAAGAAGUUAAAAAAAUUAUUGUGAGAGAGGUUUGUACAAAAGAAAUAUCAUUUGUGUAACACCGACGAAUGGAUAAGAAAAUUACAAACGAAAAUAAGUCACAGAAGUUCAAUGGGCAAACAGCAGGAAGUUCAACUACAACACUGAAUGAAUGUCACAUGAAAUUUUUUAAAUAUGUCGUGAGUAUGAAAAAAUGAUCAACACGAGAAAGUUGCGUGUUUACAGCAGUUUUCCACCGGUAUAUCACUUGCUCAAUUCUGGUGAGUGAAUGAAGAGCUACAAGCAAAAAAAGCACAUGAAAAACAGAGUGAAGUUCAAGUAGACAUGCCGAGAAGUUCAAGUUCUUCACGCGGGGCAUUUUCGAAUAAUCUGUUUCGCGAUAAAGGCAGAACGAAUGAUCCCGCCGUUUUCAAAAUUACUUGAAAAUGGUUAAGAAUUAGAGAAAACCAUAAACAUGAAAAAGUUCCGCAUUUUCCGUAGCUUUUCAACGGUAUAUUAUUUGCCCCGUUCCCGUAAAGUAUGUAGAAAUUAUAGUGAAAAUUUGUUUUUAGCCAUUUUCAAAAUUGAACGUAAGACAGUAAGUAAUUGGGAGAAACAAUAUAUAGCAAAGAGUUUCACAUUUUCUCAAGCUUUCCAACGCCAUAUCAUUUGCUGCAUUCGGACAUAAGGUUAAAAAAUUAACUCAAAAAUACAAACUCGGUGGAACUUGUACUGUUUUCAAAAUUAUUUUUAAACCAUUAAAAAUUAGAAAAAAACUUUCAACAAGAGAAAGUAGCGCAUUUUCAUAAGCUUUCCAACGCCAUAUCAUUUGCCUCAAUUGGAUUAGCCAUUUAGAAAUGACAUCGAAAAUAUGAACUCGGCUGUUCAGUUUGCAAAAUUUUAUGAUUUUCCAAAUUACUCUUUAACCAUAAGGAAUUUGGGAAAACUUUCAACAUGUGGAAGGAGAGGUUUUACAGCAGCUUUCCAAUGCCAUAUUAUUUGCCUAAUUCUGAUAAAUGGUUUAGAAAUGCGAUCGAAAAUACAAUUCACAUUUUUUGUAUGAAGAAAAACGGUUUUCAAAACUGCUCUUAAACUGCUUCCAUUUUGCCAAAAAAUCAACUUGGGUUAUGAUACUGGUGUCCAUAGCUUUCCAACUAUAUAUCGCAAGCCUCAUUUGAACAAUGUUGGCGAAAGUUCAACCUAGCACUGGGAGAAGUUCAAGUCGAACAACUCAGGCAGUAAAAUUGCAAAAAACGUAAUUUUCAUCACAACCCGAGAGCAAAAUCUGCCAACGAGCAAGAUUCCUAUUUAAAACGGGUAUUUAGUUGCUAAAAACAUUUCUAGAUUACACUAACACCAUAUAGAACAAACUAACCAGAAUAAUUCGCGUGGGGAGACACGGUUGCGAACAUAGCCUGAAGGUCGCGUUCGUACAGAGGGAAGUUCAGAUGCGUUACUCACGCAGUUCAGGUUGUGAUCAGAAUAUUAUUCUGAUUCCAUGAUCAGAAUGGUGUUUAUGUAUAUAUAUAUAUACCUUAAAAACAUACUCGCUGUUUAUUUAAAUCCGUGUUUACUUGACAUUGCUUAGAACUUCAGAUCAUCAAAACAUGUAUGCACGUGUACUUUAUGUCCGUAUGUUAAUACAAAAGCAAGCUAAGCAUCCAGGCAGCCGGGCAGGGAAGAAAGCAAGCUAGCUCAGAAUGUAUCAUUGCACGUAUAGGUACAGAGUGAAGCUCUGGGAGUCCGAUCGACGAUCGCUUGCACCUCAUCGCUUGCAGCAGAAGCGAUCACAUACAUAUGCCUCCACUUAUCCCUGUCCCUGUCUACUUGGUUCUUGACUUCUUUCCACAGUACGUUGCACUGUCACAACCAUGCCGCUCAACAAGGCAGCAUAGCCGAGUGUUAGGCUGUGAGUGGGUGUGCGAAGAGGAGAUGCCGUCGUACGCUAGGAGGAGCUCUCCGCGACUCGGUGUGCUGUUCCUCGCCGCUCGUGCAUUGACGUUGCUUCUACGACAUCUAACCCGCAAUUUUUCUCCUGUAUCCAUCCGGGGACAAAAGGGAUCAGUUCAUAGACACAGAUGUAGAAGGACGUCAUCUAACUAUAGCAUGGAUAUGUCCGUCAGCAAAUUUAAAUUCAAAUUUACAUUGAUCCACACAAUGAACCGGGUCGCAUCCUGAUCACACCCAAAAGAAGGCAAAUAUGGUUAGUUUUAACAUGCCGGAAUCCAAAAUAAUAUUAGUCCGGCAGUCCUUGCAUUAUUGUCCUGCCGGACCGACCAUCCCAGGAAGAUGCUUCCCGAUCAAGGAGGUGUCGUCGUCACCGCGUAGGCAGCCUCUGUCGUGUCCUCAUCUUCCGCCGCUGCCAACUCAUCUUUCUACGACUCCAGCAUCUGGUAACGGACGGAUUGCAUGAUAAUUUUAGCGUCGACAUCCAAAGAGUCGAUAUUCAAGGUCAACAUAUUGGCGUCUUCCGCAUUGGCUGCGAUCUUCACCCUCUUUUCCGCGCGGCGUUCUUCUCCUCGAGCGCCAUCUCCCACUCUUCGAUCACGUUCAUCCUCUCUUCUAGCUUGAACUUCUUGUCCGUCGCCUCCAUCAACUGCUUGAACCUCUCCGCUUUCCUCUCCUCCUUGAUGUCUGAGCGUCUCACGCGUGCCUCUUACUUCUUCGCCAAGAUCUCCUCGAACCUCUUCGUCAGCUUGGCCGCGACACCUUCUCGCUUCGCCCUCUCCUCCUCCCACUUCUUGCCCCGCGGAUUUCUUCUAACCUUCUUUGGCGGUUCUUGGGCUGGGUCGGUAGGGUCACCGGUUUCUACCUCAUUGGCUUGGGUGGCCAUCUUGGCAAUAAAAAUGUUCCACUUCGGUUGCCCAUUCAACUUCAACCAACAAUGCAUGAUGGUGAAGGACUUCUUCUCCAACUUUUUGUACACCACACAAGCACGAGUAGGCUGCAAAGUGAAACAAUGCAUAUCCGUCUAGUGAGAAACAAAACAAUACAUGUUCGGCUAGUGAGCAACACAAAAAAGCAUAUCCGACUAGUGAUGAACAAAACUAAAGCAUGCCCGGCUAGUGAUCAACAAAACUAAAACAUGCCUGGUUAGUGAUCAACAAAACUAAAGCAUAUUCGGCUAGUUAUCAACUUACUUGCUCGGUGAUUUGUGCACCGCUAGGCCACCAUACAAUUAGAUGCUUCAAGUGCCUGCAAUACUUCGACACGGACUCUUGGAUGGUAUAGUAGUACAGAGGCUUGUAAGGCUCCGGCCACGGCGUCAUCUGUACUAUAGGAGCACCCAUCUAGCGGUUUCGGUCACGGCCUCGCCGACCGCCCCAUGCGCCAUGCCCACAACACCCAUCGCCACCACCAGGCCCACCAACAGCCAAACGCUUCUUUAACUUUUCCUUCUUUGCGGCCUUUUCUUUAACGCGACAAUUUUGUCGCGUUUCCGCGCUGAUCUUCCGGGCGAGUGUGAUGCCUGGAUCCUCCAUCACCUCCGUGCGCUCCAUCUUCGACAGGUCCGACGGAUCCAUGCAUCAGCGAUGGAGGGAAGGAGAGGGUGGGUGCAAAGAGAGGGAAUCGGGCGAAGAGUGGAAGAAGAGAGUGGGGGAUUUUGGCGCGGAAACAGUGCGGGAUGCUACAAAAGCGCAGGCCCAGCCUUCCUUUUGGGUGGGCCAGGGGGCGGUGAGCGACGUUUAGCGUGUCAGGACUCCCGCAAACUUUCCCUAUGUUUGUCUCCGGUUUGCGAGAGAAAUUGCGUCCCGGCCGCUCCGUAGACCAAUACAGGUCGACCUUGGUCACUUCAGUGGUCCGGACAGCAUGGUCCGAGCGGUUGUGGGAGGUUUACGGGUCGGCAUUGGAGAUGCAUUAGCAGAGGAUCAAUGAGCCCUUGCGGCUCGGCAUGGCAUUGAGGGAGAGCGCAACGGUGCCAUGCUUGUUCUCAAGAGUGAUCUGCAUGACAGAUAAAAAUAUGUUUUUGGUCCCUCAAGUUCACAAGAAGUUCACAUCUAGUCCUUCAUCUUUUUUUGUCGAUGUUUACUCCCUCAUGUCUCAAAACCAGAGACAUUUCAUCCAAAACCAGAAAUGUGUGGAAAACCGCUGACGUGUCACCGGUUUUCUCUCUUCUCCUCCCCGGUGACUCUACCCACACAAUGGUGACAUUUUCUUGAGCACCUUCUAUGCACUCACGCAACACACCAACGAUGAUGCAGCACCUCGCCAGGCUCCUGUUGUUGCUGUUGCUGCGGCCUCGCGUCCGCUUUCGUGCUAGUAUUGCUGCUACACAUGGAUGAGCCACUGACGGUGCCGAGUCCACGGCCAAUGUGCCGCUCGGGAAGCUCGAGCUAGCGAAGGCCAUGAAAUGGCUUGCUGCAUUGCUUGGCAUGUUUCUCGCAACAUCGGAACCCCUCACUGCAUUGAUGGCCGCAUGGCCGGGAGUAAAUUGCAGAACACCACCAGUUUGAGGGCUAGGUGAUACGUCUCCGUUGUAUCUAUAAUUUUUUAUCGUUCCAUGCCAAUAUUAUACAACUUUCAUACACUUUUGGCAACUUUUUAUACUAUUUUUGGGACUAACAUAUUGAUCCAGUGCCCAGUGCUAGUUCCUAUUUGUUGCAUGUUUUUUUCACAGAAAAUCCAUAUCAAACGGAGUCCAAAUGGGAUCAAAACUGACGGAGAUUUUUUUGGAAUAUAUGUGAUUUUUGGGAAGAAGAAUCAACGCGAGACGAUGCCCGAGGGGGGCACGAGCCAGGGGGCGCGUGAUAACCCACAAGUAUAGGGGAUCGCAACAACUUUCGAGGGUAGAGUAUUCAACCCAAAUUUAUUGAUUCAACACAAGGGGAGCCAAACAAUAUUCUCAAGUAUUAGCAGCUGAGUUGUCAAUUCAACCACACCUGGAAACUUAGUAUCUGCAGCAAAGUGUUUAGUAGCAAAGUAAUAUGAUAGUGAUGGUAACGGUAACAAAAGAGUAACGAAAGCAAAGUAAUGUUUUUGGUAUUUUGUAGUGGUUGUAACAAUAGCAGCGGGAAAGUAAAUAAGCGUAAACCAAUGUAUGGAAAGCUCAUAGGCAUCGGAUCAAUGAUGGAUAAUUAUGCCGGAUGCGGUUCAUGUAACAGUCAUAACAUAGGGUGACACAGAACUAGCUCCAAUUCGUCAAUGUAAUGUAGGCAUGUAUUCCGAAUAUAGUCAUACGUGCUUAUGGAAAAGAACUUGCAUGACAUCUUUUGUCCUACCCUCCCGUGGCAGCGGGGUCCUAAUGGAAACUAAGGGAUAUUAAGGCCUCCUUUUAAUAGAGAACCGGAACAAAGCAUUAGCACAUAGUGAAUACAUGAAAUCCUCAAACUACGGUCAUCACCGGUAAGUAUCCCGAUUAUUGUCACUUCGGGGUUUACUGAUCAUAACACAUAAUAGGUGACUAUAGACUUGCAAGAUAGGAUCAAGAACUCUCAUAUAUUGAUGAAAACAUAAUAGGUUCAGAUCUGAAAUCAUGGCACUCGGGCCCUAGUGACAAGCAUUAAGCAUAACAAAGUCAUAGCAACAUCAAUCUCAGAACAUAGUGGGUACUAGGGAUCAAACCCUAACAAAACUAACUCGAUUACAUGAUAAAUAUCAUCCAACCCAUCACCGUCCAGCAAGCCUACAUGGAAUUACUCACGCACGGCGGUGAGCAUCAUGAAAUUGGUGAUGGAGGAUGGUUGAUGAUGACGACGGUGACGAAACCCCCUCUUCGGAGCCCCGAACGGACUCCAGACACUACAAAAAAAGACACAUUCGUGGCAUUUUGGGCCGAACGAAAAAAAAAUCUGUCAUACAUAUGACACUUCUAUGACGAUAAUUGUGACAAAACCCAGUAUCAUCAUAGAUGUGGUGGGCUCCUACUUCUAUGACAAAAAAUCAUGACAGAAAAAUGGGCUUUUCGUCCUGGGCGGGCCGGAGACGCAGCUGCAUGACAUUCUUUGGGUCGUCCAUGACAGAAAAAACUGUGGUAGAAGCGAGGGGGAGGAAAAUUUCGGGGAGUUCCCGGUUACGGUGGGAGGUCGGGGGCCGAGCGAUGCGCAUUUCUCUCGUACACGUACGCGCGUGUGUGUGAGGCGUUGGCUCUAACUCAACCUGAGCGAGGCGUUGGGCUCUAACUGAACCCGAGCGAUUGCACUGCAGGCUACGUGUUACUGAACCCGAGCGAUCGAUCGAUGGCUGUUAACUGAACCCGAUCGAGCGAUUCCUUCGCUACUGCUGCUAACUGAAGCCGAUCGAUGGGAUGAACAAUGAGAGUUAUGGGGGGNNNNNNNNNNNNNNNNNNNNNNNNNNNNNNNNNNNNNNNNNNNNNNNNNNNNNNNNNNNNNNNNNNNNNNNNNNNNNNNNNNNNNNNNNNNNNNNNNNNNNNNNNNNNNNNNNNNNNNNNNNNNNNNNNNNNNNNNNNNNNNNNNNNNNNNNNNNNNNNNNNNNNNNNNNNNNNNNNNNNNNNNNNNNNNNNNNNNNNNNNNNNNNNNNNNNNNNNNNNNNNNNNNNNNNNNNNNNNNNNNNNNNNNNNNNNNNNNNNNNNNNNNNNNNNNNNNNNNNNNNNNNNNNNNNNNNNNNNNNNNNNNNNNNNNNNNNNNNNNNNNNNNNNNNNNNNNNNNNNNNNNNNNNNNNNNNNNNNNNNNNNNNNNNNNNNNNNNNNNNNNNNNNNNNNNNNNNNNNNNNNNNNNNNNNNNNNNNNNNNNNNNNNNNNNNNNNNNNNNNNNNNNNNNNNNNNNNNNNNNNNNNNNNNNNNNNNNNNNNNNNNNNNNNNNNNNNNNNNNNNNNNCCGUGGAGGGGUGGUUGAACAGGACCCCUUGGUGUGGAGGGCUGGAUGAAUAGUAGACGGUGGAGGGGUGGUUCAACAGUAGCCGGUGGAGUAGCGCGCGGUGGAGACUGGAUGAACAGGAGCCCGUGGAGGCUGGAUGAAUAGGAGCCCGUGGAGGCUGGAUGAACAGGAGCCCGUGGAGGCUGGAGGAGGUCGACGGUGGAGAUGAACAGUAUCCCAUAGAGUCCCGUUUUGCGGUACGCCACACCCCUCCCGAUGAACAGGACCCCCGUUUCGACCGUAGCGCUCCAACACAAGUCUGUUUCCUCCGUUUUGCGGUACGCCACACCCCUCCCGAUCAACAGGACCCCCAUUUCGACCAUAGGAGGUCCGUUUCCUCCGUUUUGCGGUACGCCACACCCCUCCCGAUCAACAGGACCCCCGUUUCGACCAUAGGAGGUCCGUUUCCUCCGUUUUGCGGUAUGCCACACCCCACACGAUGAACAUGAUCCCGUUUCGAACGUGGCCGGUCAAACACAAGAUCGUUUCCUCCAUUCUGCGGUACGCCGGGCCUCGUUUUCAUCGCCUGUUCCGUCCAAGCCCUCCCGAUGAACACAACACAUUCCGUUGCCUCCCCAUGAACACGACGCAUUCCGUUGCCUCCCCAUGAACACGACGCAUUCUGUUGCCUCCCCAUGAACACGACGACGACGCUGUUUCUCCGUUCUGACCCAACCAUGUACACGAGCCCUCGCCGUACGUAUGCACGAGUAGCUGUUCGAGACCCCGCUCGUAUGUACACAUACGUGGCCGUAUUUUCUUUCUUGCACCCUGACUACGUGUACAUGCUACAUGCGCGCCUCUACUACGACACGUGCACGCCUCUACAUCGACCAAUAUAUAUGUACGUACACGUUCGCGACCAGAAUGAUAACGCUACAUUCGCUUCGACCAGGUGGGUCCCGACUAUCAGGAUCUUCGUUGCGUGCGAAGAUGUAGCUGGUGGGUCCCAGCAGUCAGGGGGGAAACAUUUUUUUUUCACGAAAUACGGUGGCCCGUCUGGUGGGUCCCCGCUGUCAGGUGGAGGAAUAAUUAUUUUGCACGUAAGGAGGCACUUCCUUGCUGCGCCCGUGGACCCAGCUGUCAGCCUCUCCACGUACAGUCCAUGUACGAUGGAAGUCGUUCCUUGACCAUGUUGACCACGCCGCGCUGAGAGUACCAGGGCGGUGGACGACGGCGAGGCCUAGGAAGGGGACGACGGGGAGCCGAGGAAGAUGCGGCAGUGGAAGCCCGCGCAGAGAGGAGUACGAGGGUUCACUGGUUCGGCUGUGGUGUGAGGCUGCCGUCGCCGCAGGGCCUGGCCAGCGGUGGGAAUAGUAGGGGGCGGUGAGGCCUCCGCGGCAGCACAGCCGGCCACGGGAGGCAGGAGCAUGCGGCACGACCGGCGCUACUUUGGGCGGCUGGAGCAAGAAGACCAGAGGUUGAAGAAGCACUACGGCCGUUGGAUGGACAUCGUACGGUCACUGGAGCUGGAAUCGUUCAUAUUGACUAAAGUUGACAAGGCCCCCAUCCUAGUCAACUUAGUAGGCCCAGAAGUCAGCCUCCCACCAUGGUGGGUCCCAGCUAGUAGGGGGAGUAUUCAUUUUUUUGUGCGUAAUAAGGAGGCACUUCCGGUGGGUCCGAGCUGACAGCGGGGGGAAUGUUUUUUUCGCGAAAUAUGCUGGCCCGUCCGGUGGGUCUGAGCAGUUAGGGGGGAAACGUUUUUUUCGCGAAAUAAGGUGGCCCGUCAGGGGGGUCCCUGCUGUAAGGUGGAGGAAUAAUUAUUUUGCGCGUAAUAAGGAGGCACUUCCUUGCAGCCACCUGGACCCAGCUGUCAGCCUCUCCACGUACAAUACUCUUCUGAUGGAAGUCGGUCGUUGACCACGCCGCGGCGAGAGCACCAGGGCGGUGGUAUGGACGACGGCGAGGCCUAGGAAGGGGAUGAUGUGGAGUCGUGGAAGACGCAGUAGUGGAAGCCCGCGCGGAGAGGAGUACGAGGGUUCACUGGUUCGGCUGCGGUGUGAGGAUGCCGUCGCCGCAGAAUAACAGGGGGUGUGGGUGAGUGGAGGGAUGGCCUGGCCAGCGGUGGGAGUAGUAUGGGGGCGGUGAGGCCUCCGCGGCAGCACAGCCGGCCACGGGAGGGAGGAGCAGGCGGCACGACCGGCGCUGCUUUGGGCGGCUGGACCAAGAAGACCAGAGGUUGAAGAAGCACUACGGCCAUUGGAUGGACAUCGUACGAUCACUGAAGCUAGAAAUGUUUAUUAUUGACUAAGUUGACAAAGCCCUUGGUACACUCCAACUUAGUAGGCCCACAAGUCAGCCUCCGAAACGGUGCACCCCAGAUGCCAGGGGAAGGAAUCAUUUUUUGGGCGGCUAAAGCUAAGAAUAUCCGAGAUUGAAGAAGAAGCACGACAUCCGUUGGAUAGACAUCCAACGGCCACUGCUGCUAGAACCAUGUGUUAACUAUAAUAAGUUGGCAAAGCAUUGCAUACACGUCAACUUAUUUUUUUAGGGGAUGCGUCACUUAGUAGGCCCACAAGUGUGUGGCAGAGAACUUAUAGCCCAUUUGCAUUUUGUAAGAAUGUACAUCCCAUUUUGGAAUUCUAAUGGAAUUUACAAUAGCCCAUUUACAGUUUGUUAAAAGUACAACCCAUUUUCUAGCUAGGACAAUGAUUAAUAAUUUCAACCAACCGUUGAAGACAGAAUUCAAUAAAAAUUCCCACAUUUUUAUGGGCUCCGAAAUAUUUUUAUUCCGAAAUUUCUAGUCAGAUUAAAUAUAAAUUUGUAUUACGUAAAAAUCCAACGAAACAUUGCACGCGCAACAAUGAAAAUUUAAUAUUUUCAAAAUCCAUAAAUAAUAUUUUAUAAACUAAUUUCGUGUUUGGUGCAUUUUUUUAUAGUUACUGCCCAGUUUUUAUAAUUACAUCCCAUUUAUUAUUUUUUAAAGCCCAUUUUCCUGUUAAGCCUAAUGCAUCCCUCCUAGGAAAGAUUUGCAGCCAGCGGGGCGGAGAAUAACAAGUUGACCUUGCCUGGGUAUUCCUCAAAAAGAUGUAUAGCUGGGCUAGCCAUUUUCAUCUUGAAAAAAAUUAGUAUCCGGGCUGGAUAUCUGGCCUGGGCUAGACGGGCCACAGCCCGCCCAGUUAAUACCCUGCUCUCCUCUAAACAACAACGAAAUCAUCGCCAAGAAAAACUCUGCAGUGCUCACGCCUCAAAAACAAAAAUACUGCUUGAGCUGCUUGGUCCCAGCUGUCGGCCGCACCUUGUGCAAUUCUCUCAUUUAUAUUGACUACAUAGGUUGACAAUGGUGUGGGACCGUGAUGUCAGGAAACCAGGAGAAAGCAAAAAAAAUAUAGUUGUACAUAAUAAGGAGGCACUUGCGUACGUACGGCUCUGGCCCUAGUGGGUCCCUAGUGUCAUCUAGUCAAAAUAAAGUCAUCUCCUGGAUCCUCAUGUUCGUUGACGAUGUUAACAAUGCUCGAUGCCACAGCGAGCACAACAACUCGAAGGACAACGGAGAGGGCCUCGCGGGCCCUACAGAUGGUCUGAUACAGCGCCCGCUACUCAUUCAGGAAGCCAGGAUCAUCGGACACCUAUGAGCACCUUCGAGAAACUAAGAUGGCAUGAAAUGGUAAGGCCGCGCUUGGGAGCUCUGGUUUAUUUCAAACCUGUAUUAACAUACAAGUGUAAUUUACUCGUCAUCGAAAACAACACAUAAAAUACAGGCGUAAUGAAACCGAGGGCCCGAGGUCUGUAAGUAAAACCGGCGGGUUACACGUGUAAUUUGAGAGACCAGUGUAUAUUUUACGAGCACUCCUAUAUGGACGAUAUUACCAGACGAUACAUGCACGAUGUGCGUAUCAUGCCAUCCAUGGGCAAGCUGAAACAACAGCUAACAGCUGGAUUAGCAAUCGUCCGAGUGUCGUUCAGCGUUUUUAUCGUGUGUCAAGUACUUCCGAUAUUUUACUAGUCGAAAUUGACCAACCAAGCACCUUCGCCCGAGACCAUCUGCUUUAAUUUACAAGCUUCAGUUUUACAAGCGGUUUUGGUUGGAAAACAACGAUCCAAUCACGGCCUAAUAUCAUGAGUUGGUCGGAAGAUCAUAUGGUUUCACGUCUAACCUACCCGACUUGUCGUAUAGGCUAUGAAUGAAACAUUAGACGAUGAACUUCUUAAGCACGGAAACAACAGAAGAGGAUGAUCUUCUUAACAAGCAAAUAACUGGCAUUAGAUCGACAUGCAAAACAAUACGAAGCAUUAUUCUCAGGAGGCACGGUGAACAGCUCGUGAUGCCGCAUGCGACAACAUUCCAAGCUCAACUUUGCAAUCAAACACAAGGCCUGGCAUUACAUAGACAAUAUUCAGAACAAACUCUUAACACAGGAAUAUCUCAGAAGAGUAACUAUUUACUUCUAAACUGAACACAGGAAUAGGAAAAAACACUCGACGCUGCUCACAGCAAGGGUGUCCCACUCAAAAAUAUUAAAUGCAUGUCUUCUGGCUAACAUCAAUGAGCAAAUUUUGACAAGGUUUUCCAAUUCCAAUAUAUUAAACUAACGUCUUCUUGCUAACAUCAGUGAUUAAACUUUGACAAGCUUUUCCCAUUCAAAAUAUGUAAUGCCUAUGAUCGUGGAGUCCUGUCGCUUCUUGCUAACAUCAAUGAUUAAACUUUGACAAGCUUUUCCCAUUCAAAAUAUGUAAUGCCUAUGAUCGUGGAGUCCUGUCGCUUCUUGUACUUGUUUGGGCACUUCUUGCCCAGGGCACUCCACGUGUUGUUAAAUUGCCAAUGGUCUCUGCAGACUAGUCAUGUCACUGGUGUCUAAUAUUUAUGGCACCGGCUGUAGCAAUGGAGGGAUUCGGUGCCAAACUAAGAAAAGGUGAAAUUGGCACCUCUUUUGGCCUACAUAGUGGAAGGCCUAAUACUCUCUAAAGCUUCUCGGUCAUUCCUUCUGUAAUGUAGCGCAAACAAUGACUGCUUCUUUCUGCAAAGUGGAAUGACCAACUGGACCCAAUAAAUGCAGCAGUUUGCCUUGGACACAUUGGCUCCUUUUGUGCAUUUGAACUAAAAUCAAAGUCGGAAUAAAACCGAGCUUUAAUUUUGAUAUCCCUGUAAGCAACAAAAGGUAUAAGGGAAACAAUUACUGAGAAAUAACGGUUGAUGACUUGUACUCCCAGAAGAAAAACAUCUACUGAUCUACCUUAUCUUAAUGGGAAACAAAGCAGGAGAGUAGCAAUUCUCAAUCAGUGUGAUUCAUUCAUAUUAACCGAGACAUUAUCUUAACAAUGCCUUGUUUCAAGAUGUAUAAAGAACGAAAAAGCAGAAAAGUAUCAUUCCUAAAACAAUGCGACUGAUUCAUUUUAACAGAGACAUUAUCUUAAUAAUACCUUGGUUAAAAAUGUAGAAAGAACUACAAAGCAGGACAGUACCAUUUGUAAAACACUGUAAGACUGUAACUGAUAUAUAAUAACAGAGACAUUAUCUGAGCAAUACAUUUCUUAAACAUGUACUCCAGCCGAUCCCUAACAGAAAUGGUACUCCUGCCGAUCCAUAACAAGUGUUUGCAGUUUUGAACUAUGAUUCAGUUCCAGGGUAGAGUGAGCGCAACAACAGUAUGUGCUUCCAUCUACUUAUAAAGGGGGUGAUGCAGAGUUUGUUGUAACAAAGCAACAAGCAUCAUGUCUGGGUUGGUUCCAUUUUCGUUCACUACUUAAUGGGAAAAGACAGCAAUACAAUAGCUUCAAUUCAACAUUUAUUUAAAACAGUACCAAUACAAGUAGCACAACAUCUCAAAGCACACUACACAAUCAUGUGGAUGAAGGCCUGUACUGACCUUCCAUGAGACCGACAACGAUAAAAUACAAAUCUGCCAACAUGAAUAGGAAAUCCAAUCUCGUUUUGUGCAGUUGCACUGAAAUCAAGCAAAGUGUUUCGCGUAGCGAAGCAAAAUGUCGCAAUAGCAACAAGUCGAAUAGAUAUCCCUGUAUAAACAGAGGCAAAAAAGGAAUCAAUUACUGGCUAAUAAAGGAGGAUGAAACAUGCGGCCACAAAAAUGAUAAUCCCGCCAAUCCCUAACAAGUGUUGCAGUUUUGAAAUAAGAGUCAGUAGUUAAUUUUGAGAGUGGCAUCAAUUACUGGCUUAUAAAGGGGGUGAUGCUGAAUUUGUUGUAACAAAGCAACGAGCAUCAUGUCUGGGUUGGUCCCAUUUUUGUUCACUACUUAAUGGGAAAAGACAACAAUACAAUAGCUUCAAUUCAUCAUUUAUUUAAAACAGUACCAAUACAACUAGCACAACAUCUCAAAACACACUGCACGAUCAUGUGGAUGAAGGCAAGUACCAACCUAUCAUGACUCACACAAGAUCACGUACGAAUCUGCCGACACGAAUAGGAAAUCCAAUCUUGUUUUGUGCAGUUGCACUGAAAUCAAGCAAAGUGUUUCACAUAGCAAAGCAAAAUCUCACAAUAGCAACAAGUUGAAUAGAUAUCCCUGUAUAAACAGAGGCAAAAAGGAAUCAAUUACUGGCUAAUAAAGGAGGAUGAAACAUGCGGCCACAAAAAUGGUAAUCCCGCCAAUCCCUAACAAGUGUUGCAGUUUUGAAAUAAGAUUUAGUAGUUAAUUCUGAGAGUGGCAUCAAUUACUGGCUUAUAAAGGGGGUGAUGUUGAAUUUUUUGUAACAAAGCAACAAGCAUCAUGUCUGGGUUGGUCCCAUUUUUGUUCACUACUUAAUGGGAAAAGACAGCAAUACACUAGCUUCAAUUCAUCAUUUAUUUAAAAUAGUACCAAUACAAGUAGCACAACAUCUCAAAGCACACUGCACAAUCAUGUGGAUGAAGGCCUGUACUAACCUUUCAUGAGACGACCAACAUAAAAUAUGAAUCUAGCAACAUGAAUAGGAAAUCCAAUCUCGUUUUGUGCAGUUGGACUAAAAUCAAGCAAAGUUGCCGGUGUGACAUUUAAGUUUUCUAUAGAAACAAGUUGAAUAGAUAUCCCUGUUUUAAGAGGCAAAAAAGAAAAUAAUUACUGGCCAAUAAAGGAGGAUGAAACAUGCGGCCACAAAAAGAAGCAUCUACCUUAUCUUGAUGGAAAACAAAGUAUAGGACAGUAGCAUUUCUAAAACGGUUGCAUUGAUUCAUAUUAACAGAGAAAUUCUUAUAAAACAGACCAGUAGUUAAUUAUGAGAUUAACAACAACAAAAUAGCUGCAUGGGACAUGCCAGCACCAUGUGCAUCCACACGUAUAAAUGGGUGAUGCAUAGUAUGUAGCCAAGCAGCAUAUAUGGGCUGGUCCCAUAUUUUUUCUCUUUGAACCUUCUUCCUAUGUGAGGGCAGCAAAUCUAGUCAUGCACAAACUACCCGACCCCCAGUUUCUUUCCCUUUUCAACAAAGAGAUCGGUUCCUUACAGAUGUGUGUACUGGGUUACCCCCCUUUUGCCUUUUCAACCUACAAAGUGGUUGGAUAGCCAGUCUAUACUACUUUCUGCCCCUCCUUUCCUCAUUGAACCACGUUCUAGAUUCUUGCUCCAGCCCACCGCACCCUUCUUUCCUCUUUGAACCAAGACCUAGAUUCGACUACAGAUCGAAAAAGAUCCACAUGCAGCUAGAGCAACGACGGUUUCAAAGAAACUUAUACCUUAGGGUGGUCGAGAUGUGGCAAGGCGUGCAGUGGGAGGCUGGAUCUGCCCACACUACGUACGGCAGCGAGGAAGAUGGGGUCGGUGGCCGUCCCGCACAGGCGCUGGGUGAAAGAGAACAGCACAACCGGUAGUGGAUUGCCUCCCUCGCCGAAGGCGAUAGAGUGAACGCUGCACCUCCUCCCCUUCCCGGUGCGACGGGAUACGGAUGCCUCCUUCACCAGCUGUGAGGGGGGAGAGAGAGACAAAAGGCCAACACAGUCUUGUUUAGAUCUGGUGAAGAGAGGGUGAGAGACUGUGAAUAUCGCAAACCCUAGCAAAUGAACGCUGAGCCUCCAACGUGUAACAUAUAUGUAGUGCGGCGAGCGUGUGGAGAGUGCAAACCCUAGCGAACAAGCGCCGAGGCUCCCGCUUAUAUAUAUACUACUAUAGUAUGGACUGAGCUUCGGUGCCUUCACUGCACCUGCUUUUGGCUAUAUGACAGGUGAGCCAGCCACAUUUUGGGCCCACCUGUCGUAAAACCCUAGCGAAAAUUGCACCAACGUGAAAGACGACUGUGUCUCCAAUGCAACCAAGGUGAACUGACGAAGGAUAUCAUCUUUGUGCGUAACAAGCGAAGAGCACUGAUGGAAGACAGCUUGUUUUUCAUCGAAAAUCGAUCAGCUUCACCAGCCGACGCAACCAUGAGGCGCAACCAUGAGCAUCAAUAGGUCAUCGUGGUGAUGCACCAUCCAUUUGGCAUCAAGUUUGGGUGAGGCACCUAAGAAGUUCGACAAAUCCUCACUGUGGUCUGUUUCUUCUCAGUAAUCAAACUCGAGGAAGGAAGAACCAUGUAGCAGAGGACAGUGAGGCGGAACAAGAAUGGCCAUCCAAUUUUGUGCAGUUCCACUAAAAUUGAGGAAGACAUGCCCGGGUAUGGAGACACGCAUCGCUGUUUCCAAAAAUAUAAAAAAGGGUUAGCAACGACAUCUCAAUUCUCAAUAAGAAUUAAUGAAAAGUACACCAACAAAUAGAAGCAUCAUAAUUAUCUUGAUGGGAACUAAACCAGGAUACCCGAGAAAAAAAAGCAUUUCUUCAUUUAACCAGUGAUAGUACUACCACCCACUACAAGAGAUCGAGCCUACUAUGACGAGCUAAAAAAUGUCAUCGAAUAGCUAAUAACGUCACAAAUUACCCCCCGGUGACAUUUUAUGGGCGUCACAAGCAUCGUCACGGAAUCCCCGUCACAGAUUACUCCUAGUGACGGCGCGCGCACAAAAACGUCAUCGAAAUUGGGACCUUCGGUGACGUUAUAUAGAACGUCUUCGACUUGCUAUUUCCAUGACGGUCAAUUAAUGUCACAUGUUAGGAGAAAAUAUGCCAUAUUGUACCAUAUUCGGUGACGAGGCAACGUCACUAACUUUAUGCCACAUCAACACCCAUAGGCUAUCCCACUACUAGUGCCACUACUUUUAUUAUGGAUGAAGAUGACGUCAUAAAAAAUAUAGUUACUUUCGAAUAUAAAUUUCAAUGAAAAAGUAUUUACUUCACAUCACAUCACAUCAGAUAUAUGAAAAAGUUAAAGAGAAAAAUCACAUCAUAAAUUUAUAUGAAAGUCAAAUCAUAUUAUAUAUGAAAUCAUCUCAGCCAAAUCAUUGUGUAAACAAAAAUGACAGUAAAAAACUGACUCAAGUUUGACACAGAUAAUAGACAAGAUGAAAACUAAUAUUAACUAAAGACCACAUAUAUUAUCCUGAUGAUUCCAAUGUAAGGAUGACAUUCAUGAACCAUCUGGUUUGGACUGGGACUGCUGAGUUGCUUGAGCCCUCAAGAGAAAAUCAAGCAGAUUAUCCGUCUCCUUUUGCUUCUUUGUCCAAGCUUCAUUCUUCUCUUGCUGGAUCUUCUUUAGAGCUUCCAAUUAUUCUUGCUGCUUAUUUUGUAUCUCUUCAAAUGCUCUUUGUUGUGCUUCAAGUCUUGCGGCUAACUCCUCCCGAUGCCUAUAAAUCAGAAAACACAACAACAUUGCAUCGUAUUGAGACGAAAAUAGACAAGAUAACAAGGUACAAGGGUACCGAUUUGAAAUAGAGAAGUACAUUAUUAAAUUCCAAGGCAAGCAUGUGGAUGGGCUCAUGAAACAGUAAACCCAAGAAUAACUUAUAAUGUUUUAAAAUAUGCAUAACCAACAGCUUGAUUACAGGAAGCAUCACCAAAAGGAUAUCAAGUCAACAGCCCAGGUUAAAAGAAGCACUUGUUAGUUGAACUUUUGUUCACUGCAAUGAGUGCACUGUGCACACAGAAGCAAGCAAAAGGAAAGAACAAGAAUAGAAAGGGGAAUAAGAUAAUUACCUAUCAUUUGCAACUCUUGCCUCUCUAUCCUUCUGUUCAAUUCUUUCUUCUAAAACUUUGAUCUGGGCUGAUGAAGUAGAGCUCCCAGACCUCCCGGAUCUUGAUGCAUACCCCAUGCUGGAAAGGAAGGUGCUAUGGGCGCUUUCUUCCUUUAGAACUAUUUGUGAUACGUAUAGUGCACAGUGGCAUACACAUGAUACAAGCAAGGAGAAAUUAAAGCAAGUGAAUCCAUAGUGUACAUAUUAUUUAAGAUGUAAGUCUGCAUGAUAUAUUACCAUUGCUUUGGACGUAGCAACAUCGACCUCCUCUUCAUCUGUCAAAUCCUCUUCCUCUCCAUGGGCCUCCUCUUCAACAUCUGGUUCAUAGUCUGAGUCGCUGCGAUCAUCAGCAGCUCGUGCAUUUUGUGUCGGUUGCACAUUAGAGGCACUAGGGUAUACAAGGCUACGAGCUAAGCUUUUUAUGUCCUUAAGAUACUCCUGCUCCGCAGCCUUGCAUUCCGCAAUCCUUGCAUCCCUUUCCUUCAAAUACGCAUCACCCUUGCAUUUCUGUUCCGCAAGAUAUUCACUGCUAUGCAUAUCACUCUCCGGUACUGGUGGCAUGAUUUUAGCAACUGGAGCUGGAAAAUAUGACAGAGAGUGAACUUAAUGAAUUGCCAAAAGACCUACCAGCCUACAUUAUCAUAACUAGAUCACUGAAAUAUUCUUAAAGCUGUUUGGAGGAGUACUUGUAACAUACAUGAUUGCAUUACAUUAUCUCUUGAAACCUGGCUAUCAUUGCUAGUAGACAAAAAAGCUAGAUUGUGUAAAACAGUUGUAACACGCAGCUCUGCUAACUAGUAGUUAAUGUGUUCCUUUAUACUUGAACUUAGAAUUGAUGCUUGUAUAAUUUGAGGUGGCAAAUACAUUACUGUAUGAUGCUUUUGAGGAUUGUAGAACAGAUCGAAAUAAAUAACAUACUUGGAAAUAUGGAGCAUCCAGAAUUCAGUUAAACAAGAACAAGUGCAGACUCAGUCUUUAAUCAGUUUCAAACAAGUGCAGAGUCACUCUUUAUUCAGUUUUGAACAAGAAGAAGUGCAGACUCAGUCUUUAUCUAGAAUUCGAAAUAAAGCACAUCCACUGUGCACUUCGUAUGGUAAUAUAUUGUAUCAAGAACAAGAGCAGACUCAAUCUUUAUUCAGUUAUAUGACGAUCCUAGGUAAGGACUAUUUAUGGGGUAGCAGAGUCACAAACAGGGACAUGGUUGUUGUAUUACAGGAAAUCUCACGACAACUGAAUAAAGACCAAGUAAAUCUUACAGAGUUAUUGGAUUUGCCACAUGGUCGCUAUAUUCAGACAUGUAAAGAAGUCUCACACCCGUGUGUGCUUUUAUCCCCCAAAUCCCUUCCCUGAUGAUCCCUUACGUCUAGAGCUUGGGGUAUGAGGAGGGCGGGAUGACAAAAUUACGGUGAGCUGCCGCCGAUCGCUGCAAUCGUUGGGGAAAGAGAGCCGGGUGGGGCGGCCUCCAAUCCGCUGUCGCCGGUUGAUGCAGUGGAUCCGUGCUCGGCCGGUCGGGCGGCCUCCUCCAAUCCGCCGUCGCCGGUCACUGGAAUCAGGGAGGAACAUAGUGGAGUGCUCACGGGGAUGGUUGAUGUUGGUGGAUCCGAGCUCGGAUAGCGGGGCGGCCACCCCCAAUCUGCCGGCCCUGAUCGCCGCAGUCGCGGUGUCGAUUGAAUCUGACGAAAAAAUGCCCGGGUGGGCGAUGGCUUUUAGCGGCGCCUCUUCGCGGACGAAAUAUAAGGAUUAUUUUUGGCUAGGUCUUUGACAGGUGGGGACACAGGGUGAAUGCAGGAAAAAAUAUAGAAAAGUGGAGGGAAAAUAGUACGUGGGUGGAGGGAAAAGAGUUUUUUUUGCGAGGAGAUGGUGUAUUUUCAUAAUUUAAUUUCCAAUUAAUAUUAUGUAAUUAAUUUAAUUCGAAAUAAGUACAAAAUGAUUAUUAAAAAGUAAAUCUUAUAUGAACAAUAUGAUGUGGUAUUUUCCAUGUUUUUUGGGAUAACUAUAAAUAAAUAUGUCGAAAAUUGUAUAGAGGGGUCUUAAGUAUGUGAUCUGGAAAAAACAAAAUGCAAAUAAUUAAGUGAUUAUUUUAACUACUUGUGUAAAUAAAAUUGGUAACUUGGGAUAAUUUUUUUAUUUUUUGGGGAAAACAUCUGAUCUACUCCUUUCAAUCAUGGCAGUACAAUGAAUACCAGAAAUAAUAAUAAAAUAUCUAGAUUCAUAGACCACCUAGGGACAACUCCAAGCGUUGAAGCGAGGUGAAGGCGCGACACUGUCAUCGCCCCUCCCUCAUUGGAGUUGGGUGAAACUUGUUGUAGUGGAUAGUCAGGAAGUCGUCGUGCUAAGGCCCCAUAUAACCAGCGCAUCAGGACAACAACUGUCACUGAGGAAGAGUAGCAUAGAUCAGACGGAUCCAACAUGAAGACAAUAUCCAAGCAAAUCCACCAAAGACGGAUCUGUAGAAGACACGCCUCCACACGCCCACCGACGAUGGUAAAUGCACCACGGAAACUGCUGCUAGGCGAGGAGAGUCGUAUUCCAUCUUCGGGGAGUCCCCGCGCAUCUCGUCUUCCUAAGCAGGACAAAAUCCCUUAUAAAUCUCGAAAACACAUCUAAAAAUGGAGCACUCCCACUGGCAAAGGCUGGGAUCCACCACGCUCCAAUGCCCUAUGGCCACCGGAGACGAGGCGAACCGACGGCCGCACCAGUGGGAGAGAGAGGAGCCCUAAUUUCUUGGGGAGGAGGGGGCUCCGUGAUGAUGGGUUUCAAUGAUGAUUGUUUCAUAGUCUAAUUUUACUCAUGCGCAUAGCCCCCAAUCUACAACGUAACCGAACUAGGGUUCAUCGUCCAUCGUCACCCUCCUAGUCCUUCAUCAACUAAAUCCAUGCGGGUGUAUAUGGGAUGUUAGAUGGGCUCCUCGUACCAUCCAUAUAUGGUCGGGCUGAGCGGUAGUCAUAUAAAGUCCAUACCCGGGGUGGGUAUGGGGAAGACCGGGCGCAUCCGCCAGGCAGACCAUCCUGCGCUGACCCCACCUCUAUCCCUACAAAUAUCCGACAGCGACUACUCAAGCUUGUCGGCGCUGGACAGGGAGGAGCUAGCACUCCGCUAGUUGCGGAUGGAUGGGGGCAGGAGCUCGUCGUCCACGGCGGCCCGGGUGGGCAGUAGCAUCUCCGCAGCGUCGUGCGGUCGCCUGACACAAUCACUUCCUUCCCCGAUCAUUAAUCCAUAAAAAUGUUCGCGAAUUCAGAGAAAUGUUCAUGGUUUGUAAAAUUUGAGCAUUUUUUUGUUUUGAUUGAACAUUUCUAAUUUUUUGAAAAUCAUUUUUUUGAAUUGAAUGAACAUUUAUUGUAUUUUCAAUGAACAUUCAGAAAAAUUAUGUUUGUCUGCCACUAUGGUGUAUGCUUAAAAAACGCUCACACUCAGCUAGCUCCUCGUCUCCUCCAUGUCGUUAUCCACAAAAAUUCCCCAAAUCACACCGCACCCCGCGUGAAGACCAAGACGACCCGCUGCCGCACCUCGCCGCCGGUGGCUCCCAAAGAGCGCCAUUUCAGCGGAGCGCCCUCGCCCCUCUACUUGCUGCUCGAGCUGCACGGGCGCCUGCUUCCCCGGCGGCAGUUCCGCAACAGCGUGCUGUCGAAGCACAGCGGCAGUCCCUUCCCCCGCUGCUCCCAUGGCGCGGCUUCUUCCUCCAGCCGUUCGGCGGGGGACCAGGCGGUGCUGGAGGAUGCACGCGGCGUCGGGGACAAGUCUAGAGGGGUCGCGCGAGAGGAGAAGGAUUGGGUCUCGGUGGUUCUUCAGGAGGCGCGUGCAAAGCGGAACGCGCGAGAAUACUGCAGGGUGAGUGCUCGAUCAAGCGUAAUGUUCACUACUGCAGUUUUGCACACACCUAUCAGUUAGAUGUCAAGUAAAACUAUCUACGAGUCCAAUUACCUGUAAGUACUGACUAAAUCAGCCAUGUAUGUUUCAAAUAUGAACCAUGGUCUCUACUGUAUUAUGUGAACAUGAACAUAUAAAAAACAUAAAAAAGUUGAACUUUGGUAAAAUACAAAUAGGCAUUACACAAUCUACUCAUCAUCACUUGAAUGCUCAUUCUCACUCAAUGCACCAUCUUCCUGUCCAUCAUCGUCAGUACCACUAUCUUCAUCAUAGUUGUUGUCAUUUUUCAGAAGAUCAUAAACAAUACUAGCAUGAACAGGCGUGCCUUCUUCAUCAUCACGGCUAUAAGUGUCCAACAAUUGAUCAAUAUCCUUCACAGUGGAAGUUGUCGAGGGCAUUUCUUCAUGGUAUGCAUCUGUAGCAUUGAGCUCGCCCGUCUCCAGUUCAGGAACAUCGUACAAAUGUCUAUGACUGAAAGUCUGCACCACAUUCCAGUCCUUUCCAUAUUUUGUGUCCUCCAUGUAAAACACUUGCUCUGCUUGAGAAGCCAAGAUGAAAGGAUCCUUCUUGUAUCGAAGCGCCUUAACAUUAAGACUUUUGAAGUAACCAUCAUCUUUCAUGCCGGUCACCUUGCCAUGGAGAUCAAACCAAUCACCACGAAACAAAAAGACCGAUCUUUCUCCAUGCUUGUUUUUGGGGUACCGCAACUCAAGAACUUCUUUUAGAACACCAUAGUAGUUAGUCUCUACAUUAUUGACAACUGCCUUCACCAUGAUUCCUGAAUUUUGAGUUUUUCUCUUCUUUUCACGAUCAAAUGUGUGAUACCGAACACCAUUCACAUUGCACCUAGAGUAUACCACUAACCGCUUGUUUGGCCCACAUGCUAGUGAGUACAAAUCCCCCGAAACAUGUUGUUCUCCUAAAGUAUAUAUCUGUCACAAGAUGCGCACACAUUAGUUACAUGGUCAGGCUAUUAACAAUUUAACAUUAAAAACUGCAAGAUGGCCAUAGUAAAGACAUAAACAGAUAACCUACAUGCUUUUCGAACCAUGUAGGGAAUUCUUUCUUAAUUGUCUGCUCAAUGUUAAUGAAACCUUUCCUUCGAAUUUCUUCUCGACAAACCCUACAAUAAUAAAGCAAAAAAAUAUCAUUAUAAUUCAUUUUUGCUAAGAGCCAUACUUUACUACUCCUUCCGUCCCAAAAUUCUUGUCUUAGAUAUGCAGGUCUGUCCUUAUUCCAAGUUUUUGUAGAUCCACUCUUGCACUUACUGUAUCCUUAUUCUUUCCAUCACUCUCUAGUAGAACCCCAAGUAUAUUCUCACAUAUGUUCUUCUCAAUGUGCAUUACAUCAAGAUUGUACGCUAAUUUCAAUUUCGACCAAUAUGGCAGAUCAUAAAAACUCACCUUUUGACUCCAGUUUGGUUCACCUUUUUCAGGGCACUUCCUCUUAUUUCCUGGAUACUUGCCUGGUUUGAAAAAAAAAUUUCUAACUUGUCCACCACUUCUUUAUUUGUGAACUUCCGGGGUUUCCCUCUACUCUCAGCCUUUCCAUUGAAAAGUUUGCUUCUUCUGUAAGGAUGAUUAGUAGGCAGAAAUCUUCGGUGCCCAAUAAACCCAAUUUUAUUUUUCAAUGGCUCAGAGCAAGGGUCCACAUCACAGUGCACACAUGCAUGAUAACCUCUUGUGCUACGGCCCGAUAAAGUGGCCAGUCCAGGGUAAUCAUGAAUCGACCACAAGAAUGCCGCAUGCAAAUUAAAUGGUUCCCCCGUCAAUGCAUCAUAUGUUUCCACACCAGUUCCCCUAAGCUUCAUCAUAUCUGCAAUCAGCGGUUGCAUAAAUACAUGGAACUCCUUUCCAGGUGCUUUUCUCCCAGGAAUAAGCAAAGACAUCAUGAAAUUAGAUUGGUCCAUGCACAUCCAGGGUGGGAAGUUGUAGGGGAUGAUAAAAACAGGCCACAUAUUAUAUGAACUCGUCAUGUUUCCAAAGGGGUUGAAUCCAUCCAUGGCAAUACCAAGCUUCAUAUUACGGGCAUCCUUAGCAAACCAACUGAACUCACUAUCAAAGUGCUUCCAUACUUCACCAUCAGCAGGGUGUCUCAUAACAUUUGCCUCAGCAACCCUCUUCUCCUUAUGCUACCUUGCAUCUGCUGAUUGUUCCUUUGACACAAAAAAUCUUUGAAGCCUUGGGAUGAUAGGAAAGUACCAAAGUACCUUGUGAGGUAUCUUUUUCCUCCCCACCUCGUCUUUCCAUCUUGAUGUCCCGCAUUCAGGACAAUGACUCUUGUUGGCAUGUUGGCCCCAAAACAAUGCACAAUCAAACUUGCAAACAUGAAUUGUCUCGUAACCCAGCCCGACUUCACUAAGAACAUUCUUAGCUUCAGUGUAUGAUUUAGGUAUAUCAGCAUGUGGAAACGCCACACUAAUCAGCUCAACAAACUGAUUAAAUGCUCUGUUUGUAAUCCGGUUGUAUGAUUUGAUAUAGAGGAGCUUAAUAAUGAACGACAGCCGUGUGAAAUCACUACAUCCUUCAUAAAGAUCUUUCUUCGCUUCAUCCAUUAGCUUGGAAAAGAGGUUAGGCUUACCCUCGCCUUGCCUUCCAGACAUGAACAUAUCAUCUACCAUAUACGCAACAUCACCUCCGUUGGCUACAUCACGCUCAUCAUCAUCAUCUGAUUGAUAUGCAGCACCCUCUGUAUUAUCACCUUCAUCAUCACUCACCGCUUCACCAUGAAAGACCCACCUUGUAUAUGUAACAGACAUACCAUUGCAUAGUAAGUACUCCUCUACUUCAGCCUGGCCGCGGUGUUCCACAUUCAGACAGUCCUUGCAUGGGCACAAUAUGUCCUGGUUUUCCUUGAAAUUUUGGCGAAUAAAACCCAUAAACUCUUCAACACCUUUCAUGUAUGGUGGUGUGAAACGCGUUCCCUGUAUCCAGCUUCGAUCCAUUGCACUACAACAAAAUAGUUUACCGUUAGCGAAGUUAUGCUUCCACCGCAUUGAAGCAAAAUCUACUACUAACACAAUUAGUGAACCAACUACUAAACUGAAAUAAGAAAACGGGCACAAAUUAACCCUUUCAAGAUUGAUGAGAACAUAUACUCAGUCAAUGAAUUUAGCAAAACAAAACCUCAUAAACAUUGUCUUUCCUAAGUACAGCAUAUAUGCUUGGUUUCCAAAGGCCACUGACUUGUGCAUGUCUUAUACAAAAACAUAUAUAUUCUCACUAUCAUUGCAAAACCAUGCAUCUAUCUAUGCUACAUCAUAGUAACAUUCGUACACACAAUACAACAACAGAAGUAACAGUUCAGUUGUUCACACAAUUUACCUUGCAGGGGUCGGCUGGAUCGAUGCUUUGGGAGUUGGAGCCAAGCCGGGGGCACUGGCAAGUCUAAACUCUGCACCUUCGUCAGGUGAUGGAUAGACUGCAAACUCUGAGCACAGUUGGUGAUGGGACGGUGGCCAGUUGGGGAUAGGUUGGGGACGAGCGACGUUGUCCCCGUCGUCGACGAGCAAAUGUGAUGCCUGUGGUAGAAGACUGGAGGUAAGAGGAGGAGGCGGAGGCGCGGUGUGGUAGCCGGUGCGAUGCGGCGGCACUGUAACGCCUCGUAUGAUAUGAUGGCCGGAUGGAUCCGCGUGAGGUGGUACAGGGGAGUGGAUGCACUUACUUGCAAUUGGCAACAAACAGCCAGAACCGAUAUGUGUCGUGCUUCAGCUAUCAUCGCCCUGCUUCUCCCCGCCGCGAAGCGCCGCCAGCUAGAACCGAGAAGACGAUCAGAUCGAGUCACAUAUGCCCCGGGAAGAAAUAACUAACCUACAGAUAUAGUCUCCCUAAAAAAACUACAGAUAUAGUCAACACGCCCAGGCGUAUACUCCAAGAAUAUGAUAACACGGUUUGUAUAGCGUCCGAACUCUUUCCUAAUGGCAACGUAUAGUCCAAGAAUAUGAUAGCACGAUUUGUAUAGCAUCCCGUCUGAACUCUUUCUCAAUGCCGGUUCGAACUCUUGUACCAAUCCUUUUUGCAUCGACUCUCCUGUUUUAAUGUUAAGUUUUUAUAGAUAGAACGAAACAACAUGACGUCAUGAGUGCCCCAUUUAAGUUUCUUUUGCCUAGUGUGUUUAUUAUAGAUAAUAAUAAGAAUAAGAAAAAAGUAGCAUGUCGUCGACUCUCCUAUUGCCAUUUUAACUUUUGAUAUAGAACAGAAAAAAAUUAGCUCACGAGCGCCCAAUUAAAGUUUUCGACAUAGACACACUGCCGAACAAAAACAAUUGUGUUCAAAUUUAUAUUUUUAGUGCCUGAUUAAAUUUCUUAUUGUGUUCAAAAUAAUUACAGCGCUCAAUAGGCUUUGAAAAAUUAAUGGCGGGUCCCACUACCAAAAUGGACACAUGGCUCCUACAUCUCAAUAACCCGUGAACUAGCUAUGACGGGUCCCACUGCUAGACGCUACAUGACAAAAAAUGAUCAUCACACAUUUGUAUUAUUCGGUGACUCUAGCUAGUUCGUCAUGCAAAAUACCAAACCGUCAUAGAAAUUGGCAACCAUGUGUGCUGAAAGGCCGAGGCACUCCAGUGACGUCUAACGUCACCGAUCUGCGGUAAUUGGUGACGCCACCUACGAGAACAUCACACAUUAGGCAUUUCGGUGACAUUGUCCACCAUCGUCACGAGGAUUUUCGUCACAGUAUGUCAAUUUUGUUGUAGUGACCAUAUGGACAAUGACCGCACAACCACCAUGCACUUUUUUUCGAAACAACAUGUAUACCUCCACCGAGGCAUAAAUCAGGACAACUUUUUGAGUGGCAUUUCCUCUAUAAUAGUACUAGUAGGUGAUGUUGGACCAGCCGACGAACCCUGGCUACUAUGCAUGGGGAGCUGGGGAGUAGUCGCAUAGAAGAAAACCCGCACGCAGCGACCUGGGGAGCUGGACCAGUACAAGAAGUUAUACCUCAGGUGGGCGAGAUGUCGUUUAGGCGGGCGGGCGGGAUCUGCCCACACGACGGCAGCGAGCAAGGGCGCGGAGGAUCUUCGUCCGCGCCAGCGCCGGCUCCGAGAGGACGGUGCGCAUCGGCUUCCUCCGUUGCCGACGGCGACAACGUCAACGCUGCACCUCCUCACCUCCCGCAGCGGACGGGAUUCGGCUGGAUCUGUGACCACCGGUGAGGAGAGAGAUAGAGUGGACACUAUCAUCUUGUUUUGAUAUGGAGAGGGUGAGAGAGCGAGACGCGAGAAACUCUAUCAAACAAGAGGCUAUAAUGGAGUAAAAAAAUCUCUCCAUAGCAGUGGUUUUAAAUAGAAUACGCGCGUUCCCGGAAAAAAGAAACGAAAACUGGCGGACAAUUUUUUAAGGGUCUGUCUAGGACACAUCUAGAUGUGACAUAGUUAUGUCACAUAUAAGUUGAUGUCCACUCUGUUUGUGGUCUUUUCCUAGUUUUUUUGUUUCUUGUUGCUACAUUAUAUACUUGUGGGAGCUUAGAUGUGAUAUCCUUAAAUAACAUCUAGAUGUGAAUUAGACAAACUGAUUUUCUAACGUACCAAGAAAGAAAACUCGAUCAAAAACACGCCCCCGCUUCCAGGUCGCGAGAGUCAUCGUGCACACACACAUAGACAUAGACAUGCAUAUCUGUGUUUACGUAAAAUUCCAUUUCCAUCUCCAUCUCCAAUCAUAUUUGUCCAACUGGCACAUUAUUUAUGUUGUUAAUUAUAUACGCAGCAAUAUUAACGUACAUCAUCUCUUGUUUGCGCACGUCCGGACCGCUGCCACGGCCGGUCCUGGCCAACACGAACCCUCUUCAUCACCCGCGCGUGCUUCCCGCCCGAAACGGUCAGUGCCGCAUUCAUGCCCGGCCAGAGUGGAUGCGACCUCUCACUGGUGCCGGCAUUGAAGCGGCUCGCCGGCCGAGAGAGCGUCGCCCGCGCCGCUUCCGGGUGCACACGGUUGCUCCGCGUUCAAAGGUCAAAAUAGCCGGCUACAACAUGCGUGAUCUCUUCCAGUAGUAAGUUCUUGGGAGUCCGUGCUACAACUAGCUGUCCUCCUCCAACUCGUCAAUCUCUUCCAGUAGUGCUAGUACCCCAUGGCGCGAUCCAUCGACAAGCAGGCGGGAAAGUUAUGGUAUACUACUCGGUUUGUGGUGAGUCGCAUGUCGAGCGACCAUGUGGGGUCGAGCCGUGGAGGAGAGUGAGACACAAACACGAUAGACGUGAUUUAAACGUUGGUUUUGCUCGAUGGCGUGAUCCAAUGAAACGAAACAUUGGUUUCUCUCCGUUUCCAUUUUUUCUCCAGGAAAAUGGAAACUUUUCCACUCCAUUUUCAUUCCUAUUCCAAGGUUGCCCCGUUACAACAUUCCAUCAAAUACAAAGGAGAACUAACACGCAUGCUGAUGCAUCUCAAUGAUUCAUAGGUCAUAGCCAAUAUUUACUUCACAACUAAAGAAAAAAGUUAUGAGAGCGUGUAUGAUAGAAAAACUACUGAUGGGGUCACUACGACUUAAACCCUAAACCCUAAACAUGAUUUAAUUUCCUGGCCAGGUAGAACCUGUCGAAGGAAAGACGGCUGACACCCUCGGAUCAUACGAUGCUUUUGUGCAGUUACACUAAAAUCGACCUGAGCAUCCCUGAUGGCAACGAUAUUGAAGAAGUGUGAUUAGAAUAAUAGUACUGGCACUAGUUCAUGAGACAUAAACUCAUCACAAGUAGAAGCCGGUGGAAGUAGAGAAAGAUCUACAUGGAGAUGGAGCUACGGCAGUGGAGCAAGCUGGCUCCAAAAGGAAGAUGGACUACCUGGGACGUCGGGCUGUAGCUAGAAGGGCGGUUGGGACGCGACAUCGGCCCAUACCGCGGUGACCCCCGAUUGGGACGCACCGACUGUGGGUUUUCUCCCUUGCCGAUGUCGACCGUGUAUACGCAGAACAUUGUUCCCUUCCCCCAGGUGCGAGAUCAGGCCCGUCGUUCUAUGCUUGUGAAGAGAGCAACCUAUGCAAGCAGGCUUGUAGCUUAGGCUCCUGCUAGUGUAUAUAUAGUGGUUUUCUUUUUCUCUCCAUAUCAACCAUUUUAUAUUGCAUACGUGUCAUUCAAGAGUGAAAUGAUGGUUGCUUCUUCCGACUAACUUACUGUGUGAUUUGACUGCUCCUUAGUGGCCCCUUCACGUACCCCCCCCUACGUGUAUGCAAUAGUCACACGUACACAUGGAUGCAAAAACGCACGCGACGCCCUAAUGCAUGCAUGUCCGAGCACACGACGGAACACACACGGUCACGCUCAAGUGCUCAACCUACACGUGCAUGCACACACAUACUCAGUCAGGGUGAGCUAGUGACCGUAUGAACACCGGAAAAUAUAUAUAUUGAGCGCAAUGAGCGUAUUAUGAAGUCCACUGACCGUAUUUUUACAAAUAUACAGUGACAGACAGUGUAUUUAUCUCGUUUGAAAUUAAUCCAUAUUAACCAGAGAGGAGGCAGCAUGGACUAACAUUACUUUACUGUGUCCCGUCAACUUGCCGAACAAGGAGAAGGUUGCAAGACGGGAGAAUCUUGCGCGCGGUGGCUCGCAGGACAAGGAGAAACUUUUGACUAAUGCAAGCUCUCCCUCGCUCAGGCGGUGGACGUGCAACAAUUAAUUUGUUGUCAGAUUGCCAGAAGCAUACACUAUACUACUAGUGCUAUUAUUGUUUGACUUCCCGAACAGCCAAGCGCAAAGUUUACUAGUACUACUACUAUAGUCCAUAAAGGUACGUACUAUACUAGUACUAGGAACCGGAUGGAGGAGCGUCUGCACUCUUAUGAUAAUGUUAAAAUGUGAUAAAGCAAUCUUCAACACAUUUGGUUCUCUUCGAGGGUUCUCGCAUGUGAUAAUGGAAGUUGAUUGCAUGGAACACUCGCCACAAUUCUCGCUUAAUUCUGGCUCAUAUCCUGUUACAAAUAGUAGCGCUCAGUAAUAUUUCCUCUUUUUUUGUUAUUCAACAUGUAAACAGGUCAGCAAACCUUGCGGCGCAUCUUCGUGCGAACCGUGCUUGCUGCACUUUGAAUGUGGCCGAGAGCUGGCUUGAUGAAACACCUCGCUUCCUACUUCUUUUUUGCGGGGUACCUCGCUUCCUACUGACCACUGUCUUGGCUGAUCGUCCUAAGAAUGCUUAUAUAUGAAUAAAGCUCUCUCAUUUACCCGCAAAAAAUAUUAAGCCAUAUUAACCGGAAAGGAGGGAGUAUGGACUAGCACUACUUUUUGGUGUGUCCCGUCAACUCGCAGAACAAGGAGAAGCUUACAGGACAAGGUGAAGAUCGCUUACGCCUUUUGACUAAUGCAACCUACCCUUGAUGGACAUGCAUCAGUCCAUUCGGUGUCAGAUUGUCAGAGGCAUACACUGUAGUACCCAACAUGCAGAGUACCAUCAUUGUUCGACUUCACGAAGGGGCAAAGAGCCAAGCGCAGUAGUACGGGCACUUGGUUUUGCACCUUCAUACUACUCCACCCUCCAUCACAGUUUACAGGGCGCACUUCAUUAUGAUGCAUUUCUCUCAAUGCAUUUCCACCACCAGAGAGACUUUAGAUGCGUUUGGUUUAAUGCUCAAUUAAUUAGGGCAUGGUAACCGCAAUCAAGUCCACAAUUUUCUCUCCAUGUACUAUACUACUACGGAGUGCGUGCAUGUGUGUACCCAGGGUGGAAGCACUGCAUGCAUGUGUGUACGCAUUAUUCCCUCUAGUAAUAGACGCCGUGCUAUAACUACCAAUGCUAUUUUUCAGGCCGAUCGCUAGUCGCCUUGGUCCCACAGAUUUUUUUUCUUUUUUCUGAAGCGCGAUGUAUAAACAGUGACGGAUGGAGUAGUAUGAGCAGAUUCAAAGAAGAGCGUAUUGAUGGUUGCUUCUUCAGAGCAACUUACAGUGGGAAAGGUGGGGCUUAUGAUUUGACUGCUCAUUACUCACUAUUAAUGCGGCGCAACGACCGGGCUGAGUCUGCCAUGCGGUUGUGCACUACCCCCUCGGUUCUUAAAUAUACUCCAGAGUAUUUGUCUUUCUAGAGAUUUCAAUGAGUGACUACUCAAAUAUUUGUCUUUUUAGAGAUUUCAAAUGGACUAGCACAUGCGGAUGUAUAUAGACAUAUUUUAGAGUGUAGAUUCACUCAUUUUGCUCCGUAUGUAGUCAUUUGUUGAAAUCUUUGUUAAGACGAAUAUAAUAUUUAGGAACGGAAGGAGUACACAUACGAAGCAAAAUGAGUGAAUCUGCACUCUAAAGUAUGCCCGUUUGAAAUUUGUAAAAAGAUAAAUAUUUAGGAGUAUAAUUUUAUGCAUGGCACAUGGACCCGGAUGAUGAAGAGGCUUCUAGCAAUGCUAUCAAGCUUCCAUCAUUUGUUUACAUAAUUGAUGUACUAUACAAAUAAUUUUCCAUCGACAUGAAGUUGUACAAUGGUGUGAGCUUUCAUCUUUUGAUUCUCGUGUCUUGCCAUCGAUGCUCUUUCGGAAACAAUAAAAAACUAACUUCCUUGCUAAUGCAUGUCAAUUAUUAGCAGAUCAGAGCUAAUAAUUACGUCACAACUGAAGACAAAGUUGUGAGAAGGUGUUAAAUUAAAAUUGAUCCAUGCUUUCAUUGGCAGCAACGUCCCCCAGCUUUGUCUAAAUCAACAAGGCAUGUUGGGGAAAAAGUAGCUGUCUGGAGCAUGCAACAUUCCGAUCAUUUUGUACAGUUCCACUAAAAUAGAGCUGAGCGUCCCUGUUCCAAAGAUACCAAGUGUGAUUACGAUAAUAGAGGACUGCUGAUGAAACAAUAAACACACAAAUAGAAGCCAGUCACCUUUGCAGUCUCUCUUAAGACUAACUAGUUGGAGAAGAUUAGGCUCUGAGUUGGAUGAGGUGGAUAGAGCAAAACCAAUCUCCCUUUGUGCAGUCGCACUAAAAUGUAGAGACGUUGCCCAUGUGACAUUUUAGUACAACUGCACAAAACAAUCUUAAGAAAAAAGUGAUUUGUGCAGUUCACAAAAAGGUCGCAAUAGCAACGAGGUGAAAUGGAUAGCCCUGUUUGCAAAAAAGAGGUAGAAAGGAAACAAUUACUGGCCAAUAAAAGUUGAUGACACAUGCGAUGACAAAAAAGAAGCAUAUUCCUUGUCCUAAGGGAAGAUAACAACACGGUUGUGUUUGUCUAAAAUGGUGUGAGGACGAGAAUGCAAUAUGGAAAGUACGUCGGACGAGCUACGUUUUGGGCAAAGAAUUAUGGAAGAUCCACAUGCAGCGACGUGGGAAAAUGGGCAGUGGAGCAAGGCCGGAGGGGAUACCUGGAGGUCGUCGGGAUGUAACUAGGUGAGUGGCGGUGGGCGGAAUCUGCAAGCAGGUGGCGUAGGCCCUGCCGCGCCGGAGCUUGGUCAAAGAGAACGGUGUGUACCGCAGAUCGGGACGUGCUGCCUCGGCACCGUCGAACGGAGAAACGAUGCACUUCCUCCCUUUCCCCCGGCGGACGGGAUGCGGCCGGAUUAGUGACCAACGGUGAGAGAGAGAGAGGCCACCACACUCCCUUUCCCCCGGCAAACGGGAUGCGACCGGAUCAGUGACCAAUGGUGAGAGAGAGAGAGGCCACCGCACUCCCUUUCCCCCAGCGGACGGGAUGCGGCCGGAUCAGUGACCAACGGUGAGAGAGAGAGGCCACCGGAGCCUUGUGUGAGAUACUCUAAAGAGCGGACUACCUUUUCCUCCAUCAAAAUCGUUUUAUAUUCUGUGUACGCGCCAUUGAGCGCUAUAACUUUAUUUAAAAAUAACGCGGCAACGUGUCAAGUCGAACUUUGUUUUGUGCACGCGUGGUACACGACCUCCCUAGGUAAACAACCGCUAUAGGCAUUCAAAUUAGCAUGUGGGCUGCCAUUUCGUAAAGAAAUGAGCUCCACCGUGUACCCGCGCGGGUGUGGCUGGGCACGAAGCGUGAGUACGUGCACGGUGCACCUAUUAUCUUCUUGUAUACGUACACCACCUACGUGGGAUUGUGUGAGAGAGAUACAAACCUAGAGAGAUAUAGUGUGUGGGUUCUUGAGAGUUUUUUUUGUUGGGGGGGGGGUCAAUCAAAAUAUUUAACGGAUGCAAUGUGUGUGAAAUAGAGUCCUGGAUAUAACAUAUAUAUAGAGGGGGCGAUCCACGAGAAGAGAGUGGAGGUAUCAUCGGCUUGAGGUGUCCAUAGAAUCGAAGAGAGGGAUGAUGUGUGUGUGUGUGUGUGCACGCGCGAUCAAUAAAGAGUGCCAUCGAAUUUGUGUGUGCCCACGUCAAAGAUAUAGAGUGGCUGGCCUACUGGAACGUGAGAUGGGACAUGUGUAGUUUGUCUCUGUGGCAUGGAUACCUACCUGUAGCGCUCGACUAUCGGUGUGUGGUGGGGGAAGAGGGAGGCCCAAUUAACUAUAGAGGUACAAUGGCUGGUAUAUGGGUGGAGGAGGAGAGAGGCCUACUCAUGUGUUAAGGAGAUCGAUCUGCCUCAUGUAUUAAGGGAGAUCGAUCGGCAUCCAUGCAUAUGUGCAGGAGAUGAAUAAGGUUGGGAGAGAGACAGAGCUAGAGUGUUGGAGGGGGUGGUAGUGGAGUUGCUUCUAACAAAUGGUGGGAUAGGCUUGCUAGACAAACAGAGGGCACGCCCGCAAUAUCAAUAAGAGAGGAGAUGGCUGCUUGUUGUCUGUGCACGUGCGUGUGAGAGACGGGUCAGGAGGCAUGCACGAAUGAUGAGGGGGACGAUGUGGCUGUGGUAAGCAGACGUAACUACAUAGGAAGAUCAAUCGCCCUUUGUAAGAGAAAGGAGAGACAUAACUUGUNNNNNNNNNNNNNNNNNNNNNNNNNNNNNNNNNNNNNNNNNNNNNNNNNNNNNNNNNNNNNNNNNNNNNNNNNNNNNNNNNNNNNNNNNNNNNNNNNNNNNNNNNNNNNNNNNNNNNNNNNNNNNNNNNNNNNNNNNNNNNNNNNNNNNNNNNNNNNNNNNNNNNNNNNNNNNNNNNNNNNNNNNNNNNNNNNNNNNNNNNNNNNNNNNNNNNNNNNNNNNNNNNNNNNNNNNNNNNNNNNNNNNNNNNNNNNNNNNNNNNNNNNNNNNNNNNNNNNNNNNNNNNNNNNNNNNNNNNNNNNNNNNNNNNNNNNNNNNNNNNNNNNNNNNNNNNNNNNNNNNNNNNNNNNNNNNNNNNNNNNNNNNNNNNNNNNNNNNGGGAGAUCGAUCGGUAUACAUGCAUGUGUGUGUUAGAAGCAAAUGAGGCACGAGGAGAAGGAUAGAGAGAGAGGGAUGCAUGUAGGAUGUGGUACAAGAGGCAUACUAUAUCGAGGGGGAGGAGUGUGCGAGUACGAUAAUGAUGAAAAGAGUGGUGGGAGUGAGGCAUGAACGGUGACAAGAGAAGAGGGGAAGCUUGUGUUUGU